rnacentral:rRNA from 1 species
CGAGAAGACCCUAUGGAGCUUUAGGCAUAUGUCAAAUAUGUAAAAACCAAAUUUUCCAAAUAGGCCUAAAAAACGGGAAAAACAAGUAUUAAUGACUAAAUGCCUUCGGUUGGGGCGACCUAGG